rnacentral:rRNA from 1 species
UGGGGAAUAUUGCACAAUGGGCGCAAGCCUGAUGAAGCCAUGCCGCGUGUGUGAAGAAGGCCUUCGGGUUGUAAAGCACUUUCAGCGGGGAGGAAGGCGUUAAGGUUAAUAACCUUGUCGAUUGACGUUACCCGCAGAAGAAGCACCGGCUAACUCCGUGCCAGCAGCCGCGGUAAUACGGAGGGUGCAAGCGUUAAUCGGAAUUACUGGGCGUAAAGCGCACGCAGGCGGUCUGUCAAGUCGGAUGUGAAAUCCCCGGGCUUAACCUGGGAACUGCAUUCGAAACUGGCAGGCUAGAGUCUUGUAGAGGGGGGUAGAAUUCCAGGUGUAGCGGUGAAAUGCGUAGAGAUCUGGAGGAAUACCGGUGGCGAAGGCGGCCCCCUGGACAAAGACUGACGCUCAGGUGCGAAAGCGUGGGGAGCAAACAGG